rnacentral:ncRNA from 1 species
GAAGAAAUUCAACCAAGCGCGGGUAAACGGCGGGAGUAACUAUGACUCAACCUUUUGAGGGUCAUGAAAGCAGCGUGAAAACGUUUGCUAGUGGUCAAGUUGGGUAUUCUGAUUUGACUGCGACACUGUCAAAUUGCGGGGAAGCCCUAAAGCCUUAUUCACCAAGCAAUUGUGGAAACACUCUUGUGGCCAGGUUAAUAGCCUCGGGUAUGGUAACAGUAGUAAGGAUAAAUGUGAAAAAUGGGUUAUCCGCAGCCAAAUCCUAAGGGGAAAAAGAAUUACAAAUCCGUAUUUUCAUCCUAUGGAUGCAGUUCAACGACUAGACGGCAGUGGGUACUGCUCUUUUUACUCUUGAGUAGUGCUUAAGGUAUAGUCUGUCCU